UCUCCCCCUCAGCAUCCGGCGUGGGAGCGCGCGCGCCGCCUGGCGGGGUGACUGACGCGCGUCCCCGCUCCCCACGGUUCCCCCGCCCCGCCGCCCUCCCUGCCCGGGGCCCGGUUCUCCCCCGCAGACCACGGGCCGGGCCGAGAACCGGGCCGAGAACCGAAAACCCUUCCCUGCCCGCCACUGUUCCGCUGCCCAUCGAUUUCCCCCGGCCUACAGCUCCCGCAGGGCAGCGCGCCACCUGCUCUGGCCCGGCCAGGGCAGGCGGCAGCAAGGCACGUCGGGAGCUGUAGUUCGUGAGGAAGGGGAGCGGCACCGCCCCCGAGGUUUCUCCUCGGGUGGGCAGCACAGCCGGCCCUGCUAGCGGCUCCACAGCCCCGCGCCUCACAGUGCCGGGCUCAGAACACCUCAAAAACCGACGCGGUUCUCGCCUUCCCACGUCUGUCCUGGGCGCUCCUUGAAGCGGGGCUCCUGGCUCAGGUGCCUCUUCCAGCCCCUUCCAGCCCACACCUGCUCCGGGGCUGCGGCCAGCUCGCUCCCCUCCCCGGCCCUGCCACCAUCACAGGACGCUGCUGUCACACAGCGCUGUGCCUUACGAGCCAGCUGGCCAGAUUCACUCCGUAGGGAGAUUUUCAAAGUUCUCUGAGAACUGCUGCCCGGUUCAGCAGUCUGUUUUCAACGACUUUGCUUUCAGUCCAGUUUUUAUGGGGGUGUCAGUCAUGUAGAGCCGGACACGGAGGUUUGCUCCCUGGCUUCACACAGCGUUAUCUUCCACCACCCCUUUGGAAAAGACCACCGUGAAAACUAGGAACCAAAUUAGUUCGGUAUCUGGGAUCACGCCUGAGAAGGCUUACUAUCAACCUACAAACUGAAGUCAGAUUAAGGUGACUGCAAGAAAGUUAACACACAAACGUCAGAUUGGAUUACUUGGAGCACUUGACAGCAACUUGGACCGGCGGUUGUGCUGCUUCGCGCAGCCACCCUCGUGUUGAGCCUCCAGCACAAGACACAUAUCCCUCCGCAGCAGUCUAACGUGACAAUCGCUACCCAUGUCUUGCAAGAGAACAAUUAGCAGUCUUUAAUUCCCUAGACAGAAGAAUCAAGAUCUGCAGUUUUCUCAGAUUCUGGUUCCUCUUUGAGUGCCCCCUCCUCCCCCAUGUUCUCCUUCUCAUACCAGUCUUUGUAAGCAGUGUCACUUCAGCAAGAAAUUACAUUUUCUGUGCCUAUUUGGAGGUUGAAAUAGAAAACAGGAUUGAAUAAGGUCAUAGAAAAGACAAGGCACCAUUGUUUCUUCCCUUACUUCCCUAUAUGGGUUGAAGGUGCGAGGCUGGAAAGAAUCAAAUCACUCUAUCUAUACCCAAUUUUCUUUUUGUUCUAGAGAAUGAGCAAAGUUAACAGCAGCAAUACUGUGUCAAAACUGCAGAAGAACUUCAAGUUUGAACAAUGAAGGGGAAAUUAUUUCUCACUCAUUCAACCCUCUAUAGAUCUGUGCGGAUUGUAAGAAGCAAGGCUAUGUAGGAGUGGAGCACUGACCACCUUUUAGUGGAGCCUGUCAGGAGAAUGACAAGACUGGAAGUGCAGGCGUAAAGGUAGCCUGUUGCUUCCUCUAACUUUUCAUCAUGGCAGCCAGCAACAAAUAAGCAGCAACUUAUGAGUUUCCUUCUUCACCUCAGAUCUGUUGGGUCUCAUACUGGCCUUCCAAACAGCAGCAAAAGUUUUCAGUCUUACCUCAAAGAAAUGGCAAAACCCAAGCUUCAAGGUUUCUCCUGCUUAAAAGACUUCUCCAGGCAUGAAAGGAAAAAGUAACAAAACUGAAAACCUUGGUGGGCAGAUUUCAGAGAGGAGAAGAAAAGGAGAAAGAAAGCAUUUCCAAAUGAAUUUUUGUAGUUGUCUCGUUUUUGAACUCUUACUCCUUCUGAAAAUACUGCCUAGAAAUCAGAUAUGCUGUAGAGACCAGCUUUGGACCAUUCCCUCCCUUGGAGAUGUUUUAUUUUUCCAAACGAAACUGAGCCAGAUAGUCUUGAAUAGGAUUCUUCAACUGAGAGGGAAAACUCUGCUAGCCUGAGAAGCAGUACCUCUUAAUUUCUUUGGGAACUAGUGGCCAUUUGCAAUGUG